rnacentral:rRNA from 1 species
CCAUAGCAAACUCCGAAUACCGAAGAGUGCAAUCACGGGAGACAGACAUCGGGUGCUAACGUCCGGUGUCAAGAGGGAAACAACCCAGACCGCCAGCUAAGGUCCCCAAAUAUUGCUAAGUGGGAAACGAAGUGGGAAGGCUAAAACAGUCAGGAGGUUGGCUUAGAAGCAGCCAUCCUUUAAAGAAAGCGUAAUAGCUCACUGAUCGAGUCGUCCUGCGCGGAAGAUGUAACGGGGCUAAGCAAUAUACCGAAGCUGCGGAUGCACAUUUAUGUGCAUGGUAGGAGAGCGUUCCGUAAGCCUGCGAAGGUGCAUUGAAAAGUGUGCUGGAGGUAUCGGAAGUGCGAAUGCUGACAUGAGUAGCGAUAAAGGGGGUGAAAGGCCCCCUCGCCGUAAGCCCAAGGUUUCCUACGCAACGUUCAUCGGCGUAGGGUGAGUCGGCCCCUAAGGCGAGGCAGAAAUGCGUAGCUGAUGGGAAGC